rnacentral:piRNA from 1 species
UUAACUAAGUAAAGGGCAUUC